rnacentral:tRNA from 1 species
UGGCUCAGUGGUUAGAGCGCCCGCCUCAGGAACGGGAGGUUGUGGGUUCGAACCCCAA